rnacentral:rRNA from 1 species
AUUGAACGCUAGCGGGAUGCUUUACACAUGCAAGUCGAACGGAGUGGCGGACGGGUGAGUAAUAUAUCGGAACGUGCCCAGUAGCGGGGGAUAACUACUCGAAAGAGUGGCUAAUAACGCAUACUAUUGGCGCGGCCGAUAUCGGAUUAGCUAGUUGGUGGGGUAAAGGAUCACCAAGGCAACGAUCCGUAGCUGGUUUGAGAGGACGACCAGCCACACUGGGACUGAGACACGGCCCAGACUCCUACGGGAGGCAGCAGUGGGGAAUUUUGGACAAUGGGGGAAACCCUGAUCCAGCCAUCCCGCGUGUAUGAAGAAGGCCUUAGGGUGGUAAAGUACUUUAAGCGGGGAGGCGUUACCCGCAGAAGAAGAACCGGCUAACUCCGUGCCAGCCGCCGCGGUAAUUC